UCGUUGCUCUCUCUCUCUCUCUCUCUCUCGCUGUGGAGUUGGUGGAAGAUCUGGGGAUUUUAGUGACGCAUACUGCUUGAAUUUCUGGUCAAUGUCAGUCAUUUUUCUACAUGUGAGGAGCCCAUUUGCAAACCCUAGGUGGGCUUUCAAGCUAGUAAUUUUAUGUUUUUAUUUUCACUUCUACAGAACAUAUAAAGUUCAAGAUCAACUGGAUUUCUCUCUUUGUUUUCAGGAUCGACAAAAUUUAUUCAAAUUCCUACCAUGAACAAUUUAGGUGAUUCAAGCAGAAGAUAAACAUGGCAAGAUUAAGCCAUGAAUUCUAGACGGAUUUCUUUCGAUCGAUGCAAACGAGCCAACUCUUGAGGUACAUAGCCAUCGAAAUUGUUGUGACUGAUGUCGAGUGACGCGAGGAAUGAGAGAUUUCCAAGAUGUGGAGCGAUGGUGCCUUGGAGACCCAUACGUGAGAGAUUCAAGGCCGUGACUCUCUGGUGCCUAAGACCACAUGAGACACCAACCCAACUGCAAACUGAGCUAGUGGUGGACCAAUUACUAGCCAAUACAUCUUCAGGGUUGUGAGUGAUAUGGUCUUUGAACACACGAAGAGCAAAUUGAUCGGUGGUCAAGUUUGUGAUGGAGCUAGACAAGCAAACGAUGAAAAAGCUUACUAGCAAUGAGAUGGAAAAAAGGAAGCAACUGGUAUUGUCCAUGGCAUUCAUAUGUGUAAAUUACUAUUAAUGGACUUGUAUUUAGAUGGAUUAGUUUAGCGGGACUUAUAUAAGAUAGGGAAAUCAAGCAUUGUAUGGAAUCACGAAACAACGUUGGAAACUUAACUAAUCUUCUGAAGACUAGAAUGGCAUGCAUUUCACUAGUACAUACUCGGUUACACACUCACUUUCUUGUACACACUGUUUCUCCUAAACGAAGAGAUUAGUUUUCAUACUACUUUUUGCACCGCCGAUAUUAUUUGCCGAUAUAUAAUUUAAAUCUAAACUUUUCAUAUUUGAAAAGAAGAAAUAUUAAUAAUUUCUAGUUCUGCUUUAUGCUAGUAAAAAUUUCCCAUUUAGUGAAAAAAACAAUACAAGUUUCCCGGGACACAAAUCAGGAAUUUUCAUUGGUUGAACAAUUUUUUUUU